GCCGGGCGUGGUGGCUCACGCCUGUAAUCCCAGCACUUUGGGAGGCUGAGGCGGGUGGAUCACCUGAGGUCAGGAGUUCGAGACCAGCCUGGCCAACAUGGUGAAACCUUGUCUCUA
rnacentral:SRP_RNA from 1 species